rnacentral:antisense_RNA from 1 species
GUGCAAUUCUACUUGGAGAUCUUCAUAACACCUUAAGGGAAAAAUCCUUUUUGAAAGAAAAACAACUCUGGGUGGUGCUUGAAAAUUCAGAAGGCAGCUAGAAACUUUGCCAAUUACAACUGGUGAUUGCUGAGUUCCGGAGACAGACUGGGCUUCUGCUUUCUUUUGGUGGAGGUGUCUGCUUGCAGAAAAUUUAUGUUCUGGGAUUUACAACUUCAGGGAGACAAAGGAAACUCCAGCUCAUCUCCCACAUCAUUGAUUGAGAGGACCAUCUUCUGACUCUCUGCACAUGGAUGGGCAUUUGAAUUAUUUCCAGUUUUUGGCUAUUAUGAAAAAAACUGCUAUGAACAUUCAUACACAAGUGUGUGUGUGGACCCAUGUUUUCACUGAUCAAGGCUAAAUACCUACGUGGUGCUUCGUGAACCCUGGAUGCUACAGUCUCUGGCCACAGCACUAAAUGUAUGCUGAGAUCUGGCUUCACGGUCGAGGGUGUUGCUGGUUUUCAAUGUGCCUGACAUAGGAUCAAUGGUGAAUGCACCAGAAGCCUCAUCAGUCAGAAAAUACUCAGUUUGCCCAUUCAGGCCUUCAUCCUUGUCCACAGCUGAAAGCACGAGAACCACUGUUCCCACUUCAGCAUCUUCUCUCACAGAGGACUGGUAAUAAAGUGUGGGAAAAGAAGGACUGUGGUCAUUGGCAUCCAAAACUCUAACUUGCAGGUGUAUUACAGAGCUCCUAGGUGGAUCUCCCAGGUCAGAGCACAGAAUGGCAAGGGUAAAAUUGCUGAUUUGCUCCCGGUCCAAAGCACGAGUGGUUGAGAGUUCUCCUGACAUCUCAUUUAUAGCAAAGCACUCAUCAGUAUUUCCAUCUAUUAAAGAAAACAAUUACAAAUUCAUUUGAAUUGAAAAAGUAGCAGCUCUUUGCUAGCACUAUCUAUGGUAUUCAUUUAUACAUUCAUUAAAAAUAUAUUUAUUCCCGA